rnacentral:rRNA from 1 species
AGUGAACGCUGGCGGUAGGCCUAACACAUGCAAGUCGAACGGCAGCACAGAGGAGCUUGCUCCUUGGGUGGCGAGUGGCGGACGGGUGAGGAAUGCAUCGGAAUCUACCCUGUCGUGGGGGAUAACGUAGGGAAACUUACGCUAAUACCGCAUACGACCUACGGGUGAAAGCAGGGGACCUUCGGGCCUUGCGCGAUUGAAUGAGCCGAUGUCGGAUUAGCUAGUUGGCGGGGUAAAGGCCCACCAAGGCGACGAUCCGUAGCUGGUCUGAGAGGAUGAUCAGCCACACUGGAACUGAGACACGGUCCAGACUCCUACGGGAGGCAGCAGUGGGGAAUAUUGGACAAUGGGCGCAAGCCUGAUCCAGCCAUACCGCGUGGGUGAAGAAGGCCUUCGGGUUGUAAAGCCCUUUUGUUGGGAAAGAAAUCCAGCUGGCUAAUACCCGGUUGGGAUGACGGUACCCAAAGAAUAAGCACCGGCUAACUUCGUGCCAGCAGCCGCCGUCG